rnacentral:rRNA from 1 species
AGAGCGAACGCUGGCGGCAUGCUUAACACAUGCAAGUCGCACGGGCGGGGGCAACUCUGUCAGUGGCGGACGGGUGAGUAACGCGUAGGUAUCUAUCCUUGGGUGGGGGACAACUGUGGGAAACUACAGCUAAUACCGCAUGAUAACUGAGGUUUAAAGGCGCAAGUCGCCUGGGGAGGAGCCUGCGUACGAUUAGCUAGUUGGUGGGGUAAAGCCUACCAAGGCGACGAUCGUUAGCUGGUCUGAGAGGAUGAUCAGCCACAUUGGGACUGAGACACGGCCCAAACUCCUACGGGAGGCAGCAGUGGGGAAUAUUGGACAAUGGGCGCAAGCCUGAUCCAGCAAUGCCGCGUGUGUGAAGAAGGUCUUCGGAUUGUAAAGCACUUUCGACGGGGACGAUGAUGACGGUACCGUAGAAGAAGCCCGGCUAACUUCGUGCCAGCAGCCGC